rnacentral:rRNA from 1 species
AGAGUUUGAUCCUGGCUCAGAUUGAACGCUGGCGGCAGGCCUAACACAUGCAAGUCGAGCGAGAAAGUUCCUUCGGGAGCGAGUACAGCGGCGGACGGGUGAGUAACGCGUAGGAAUCUACCUAGUAGUGGGGGACAACAUGGUGAAAACCAUGCUAAUACCGGCAUACGCCCUAUGGGGGAAAGCGGGGGAUCUUCGGACCUCGUGCUAUUAGAUGAGCCUGCGUUAGAUUAGCUAGUUGGUGGGGUAAAGGCUCACCAAGGCGACGAUCUAUAGCUGGUCUGAGAGGAUGAUCAGCCACACUGGGACUGAGACACGGCCCAGACUCCUACGGGAGGCAGCAGUGGGGAAUAUUGCACAAUGGGCGAAAGCCUGAUGCAGCAAUGCCGCGUUUGUGAAGAAGGCUCUAGGGUUGUAAAGCACUUUCAGUAGGGAGGAAAAGUGUACAGUUAAUACCUGUAUGCCGUGACGUUACCUACAGAAGAAGCACCGGCUAACUCCGUGCCAGCAGCCGCGGUAAUACGGAGGGUGCAAGCGUUAAUCGGAAUUACUGGGCGUAAAGCGCGCGUAGGUGGUUUGAUAAGUUGGAUGUGAAAGCCCCGGGCUCAACCUGGGAACUGCAUUCAAAACUGUCUCACUAGAGUACGAUAGAGGGGGGUAGAAUUUCAGGUGUAGCGGUGAAAUGCGUAGAGAUCUGAAGGAACACCAGUGGCGAAGGCGACUUUCUGGACCAAUACUGACGCUCAGAUGCGAAAGCGUGGGGAGAAAACAGGAUUAGAUCCCCUGGUAGUCCACGCCGUAAACGAUGUCUACUAGCCAUUGCGUAAACGAUGUCUUUAGUGGCGCAGCUAACGCAUUAAGUUCACCGCCUGGGGAGUACGGUCGCAAGAUUAAAACUCAAAGGAAUUGACGGGGGCCCGCACAAGCAGUGGAGCAUGUGGUUUAAUUCGACGCAACGCGAAGAACCUUACCAGCCCUUGACAUACCUGUCGCGAUUUCCAGAGAUGGAUUUCUUCGGUUCGGCCGGACAGGAUACAGGUGCUGCACGGCUGUCGUCAGCUCGUGUCGUGAGAUGUUGGGUUAAGUCCCGCAACGAGCGCAACCCUCGCCCUUAGUUGCCAGCAGGUUAAGCUGGGCACUCUAGGGGAACUGCCGGUGACAAGCCGGAGGAAGGUGGGGAUGACGUCAAGUCCUCAUGGCCCUUACGGGCUGGGCUACACACGUGCUACAAUGGCGGUGACAGUGGGAGGCGACCUCGCGAGGGGAAGCUAAUCUCUAAAAAUUGUCUCAGUUCGGAUUGUUCUCUGCAACUCGAGAGCAUGAAGUCGGAAUCGCUAGUAAUCGCGUAUCAGCAUGACGCGGUGAAUACGUUCCCGGGCCUUGUACACACCGCCCGUCACACCAUGGGAGUUGGUUUUACCCGAAGCUGGUGCGCUAACCGCAAGGACGCAGCCGACCACGGUAAGGUCAGCGACUGGGGUGAAGUCGUAACAAGGUAACC